rnacentral:rRNA from 1 species
CCUACGGGUGGCAGCAGUGGGGAAUAUUGGACAAUGGGCGAAAGCCUGAUCCAGCCAUGCCGCGUGUGUGAAGAAGGCCUUCGGGUUGUAAAGCACUUUCAGUGGGGAAGAAAGCCUUGGGGCUAAUACCCUCGAGGAAGGACAUCACCCACAGAAGAAGCACCAGCUAACUCCGUGCCAGCAGCCGCGGUAAUACGGAGGGUGCGAGCGUUAAUCGGAAUUACUGGGCGUAAAGCGCGCGUAGGCGGUCUGAUAAGCCGGUUGUGAAAGCCCCGGGCUCAACCUGGGAACGGCAUCCGGAACUGUCAGGCUAGAGUGCAGGAGAGGAAGGUAGAAUUCCCGGUGUAGCGGUGAAAUGCGUAGAGAUCGGGAGGAAUACCAGUGGCGAAGGCGGCCUUCUGGACUGACACUGACGCUGAGGUGCGAAAGCGUGGGUAGCAAACAGGAUUAGAUACCCCUGUAGUC